AGCGCCCAGGCGGGAUGCGUGCUUGCACGUAAGCCCGUUUGGACAUUUGACAAUCAAGCCGGAAUGAGCAAGUAAGGCGAUAGCCUGGAUUGCGAAUUUUGGCGGCAGAUGCGGAAGCGCUGAAGGCGCGAAGCAGCUGGC
rnacentral:sRNA from 1 species